UACGUAGGGGGCAAGCGUUGUCCGGAAUCAUUGGGCGUAAAGCGCGUGUAGGCGGCCCGAUAAGUCCGCUGUGAAAGUCCAGGGCUCAACCCUGGGAUGCCGGUGGAUACUGUCAGGCUCGAGUCCGGAAGAGGCGAGUGGAAUUCCUGGUGUAGCGGUGAAAUGCGCAGAUAUCAGGAGGAACACCAACGGCGAAGGCAGCUCGCUGGGACGGUACUGACGCUGAGACGCGAAAGCGUGGGGAGCGAACAGG
rnacentral:rRNA from 1 species